ACAGGCUUAACACAUGCAAGUCGAGGGGCAGCAUGGUCUUAGCUUGCUAAGGCCGAUGGCGACCGGCGCACGGGUGAGUAACACGUAUCCAACCUGCCGUCUACUCUUGGACAGCCUUCUGAAAGGAAGAUUAAUACAAGAUGGCAUCAUGAGUCCACAUGUUCACAUGAUUAAAGGUAUUCCGGUAGACGAUGGGGAUGCGUUCCAUUAGAUAGUAGGCGGGGUAACGGCCCACCUAGUCUUCGAUGGAUAGGGGUUCUGAGAGGAAGGUCCCCCACAUUGGAACUGAGACACGGUCCAAACUCCUACGGGAGGCAGCAGUGAGGAAUAUUGGUCAAUGGGCGAGAGCCUGAACCAGCCAAGUAGCGUGAAGGAUGACUGCCCUAUGGGUUGUAAACUUCUUUUAUAAAGGAAUAAAGUCGGGUAUGCAUACCCGUUUGCAUGUACUUUAUGAAUAAGGAUCGGCUAACUCCGUGCCAGCAGCCGCGGUAAUACGGAGGAUCCGAGCGUUAUCCGGAUUUAUUGGGUUUAAAGGGAGCGUAGAUGGAUGUUUAAGUCAGUUGUGAAAGUUUGCGGCUCAACCGUAAAAUUGCAGUUGAUACUGGAUAUCUUGAGUGCAGUUGAGGCAGGCGGAAUUCGUGGUGUAGCGAUGAAAUGCUUAGAUAUCACGAAGAACUCCGAUUGCGAAGGCAGCCUGCUAAGCUGCAACUGACAUUGAGGCUCGAAAGUGUGGGUAUCAAACAGGAUUAGAUACCCUGGUAGUCCACACGGUAAACGAUGAAUACUCGCUGUUUGCGAUAUACUGCAAGCGGCCAAGCGAAAGCGUUAAGUAUUCCACCUGGGGAGUACGCCGGCAACGGUGAAACUCAAAGGAAUUGACGGGGGCCCGCACAAGCGGAGGAACAUGUGGUUUAAUUCGAUGAUACGCGAGGAACCUUACCCGGGCUUAAAUUGCAGAUGAAUUACGGUGAAAGCCGUAAGCCGCAAGGCAUCUGUGAAGGUGCUGCAUGGUUGUCGUCAGCUCGUGCCGUGAGGUGUCGGCUUAAGUGCCAUAACGAGCGCAACCCUUGUUGUCAGUUACUAACAGGUUCUGCUGAGGACUCUGACAAGACUGCCAUCGUAAGAUGUGAGGAAGGUGGGGAUGACGUCAAAUCAGCACGGCCCUUACGUCCGGGGCUACACACGUGUUACAAUGGGGGGUACAGAGGGCCGCUACCACGCGAGUGGAUGCCAAUCCCAAAAACCUCUCUCAGUUCGGACUGGAGUCUGCAACCCGACUCCACGAAGCUGGAUUCGCUAGUAAUCGCGCAUCAGCCACGGCGCGGUGAAUACGUUCCCGGGCCUUGUACACACCGCCCGUCAAGCCAUGGGAGCCGGGGGUACCUGAAGUGCGUAACCGCGAGGAGCGCCCUAGGGUAAAACUGGUGACUGGGGCU
rnacentral:rRNA from 1 species